CUCUCUCCUGCAAGGGACGGCAAACUCCUCGCCAUGCUGUGGGCUCCCCUCCUUGUCCUGCUGGGGACGUGGUGCACAGGUGCCAGCUCACAGCCUGCGCUCACCCAGCCGCCCGCAGAGUCAGUGUCCCCAGGAAACACUGUGAAACUCUCCUGCACCAUGAGCAGUGGGACCAGCAUCAGUGGCUACAGUGUGUACUGGUACCAGCAGAAACCUGGGACCCCCACUCGGUACCUGCUGAGAUACAAGUCCAAUUCUGACAAGCACCAGGGCUCCGGGGUCCCCGCUCGCUUCUCUGGCUCCAAAGACACGUCCAGUAACACCGGCUACCUGACUAUCACUGGGGUCCUCGCAGAGGACGAGGCUGACUAUUACUGUACUGUGUGGCACAGUGAUGCUUGUCACAGUGACACAGCCACAGGGGAAGUGAGACAAAAACCUCCUCUGCCCUCCCUCAGCCGGGGCUCUGUGGGAGCCAGCAAGGAGCCGUACCAAGGGCAGCAAUCACUUGUGCAAACGUGGUGAAAUGUAACAUCUCCCUCUGUGGGGGAAAACUGGUGGCCUACCAACUGCUCUCUCCGGGAAGAGGUAGCCAGCUCUCCCCUUCCACCCCCCACCCCUCCAAGCCCCCACUGAGUCCCUCUGCUCCCUGCUCUUCCCCCUAGCUCAUCCUCUGCCCUUUCAUGAACAGAUGGAAAAUACGACCCAUCCUGGCUCCCAUCUCACCUACCCCCCACCCCCAUGGUGAAAAAUGGGGCUUUUCUAUUUCUUUUCCACAUUAUAUUAGAUGCUAUAGGCAGACCCUCUGACAUCUUUGGGUUUCAACUCUGGUAACAUGGCUAUGCUGCCCAUCACUGGAGUCCAAGCCCAGGAUGAAGCUGUUCAUUACUGCCAAGUGUGGGACAGCAGCACUUUCCACAGUGCUACAGUGCAACGGGGAAGGGAAAUACAACCCUCCUGCUGCCAAAGGCCACACUUACUAUUUAUAUUUACUCUGGUCUGAGAGCCAGGCCUUCAGCUACUUCACUAAACUGAGGGCCAGGUCCAGGCUCAGCAGAUACUGGCAGAGCUGUCCUGAAGUCGGUGAAACUACAUCAUGCAGAGAUCUCAAUAUUUCUCUUCCAAAAACUGAGCACCUCCCAUCCUACUAGGGUUUCACCAAGAAACCAGCAGUGCAUUUCACUUGCUCAUGCUUCUCAUAUGGUCUCCAGAGAAAACAGAAAUAUCCUUAGCCCAGAGUUCAGAGUCCUCCCAUCUUUUCCCUUCCAGUCUUAGCAGUGUCUACAUCAAAGGGAUCAAUGAUUGCAAGCCCCCUACUCCAUAGUGCAGCUCAGCUGUGGCGUUGUCCUUAAUGACCCAGUAACCUACAAGCUUUGUACUCUCUGCUUAGCUUCUCCUCUGCUCUUU